GGUUGGUGCUCAGUGGUAGAGCACUCACCUAGCAUGUGUGGGGCCCUGGGUUCGAUCCCCAGCACCACACA
rnacentral:tRNA from 1 species